rnacentral:rRNA from 1 species
CCUACGGGAGGCAGCAGUGAGGAAUAUUGGUCAAUGGGCGCGAGCCUGAACCAGCCAAGUAGCGUGAAGGAUGACUGCCCUACGGGUUGUAAACUUCUUUUAUCAAGGAAUAAAGUGAGGCACGUGUGCCUCUUUGUAUGUACUUUAUGAAUAAGGAUCGGCUAACUCCGUGCCAGCAGCCGCGGUAAUACGGAGGAUCCGAGCGUUAUCCGGAUUUAUUGGGUUUAAAUGGAGCGUAGGUGGAUUGUUAAGUCAGUUGUGAAAGUUUGCGGCUCAACCGUAAAAUUGCAGUUGAAACUGGCAGUCUUGAGUACAGUAGAGGUGGGCGGAAUGCGUGGUGUAGCGGUGAAAUGCUUAGAUAUCACGAAGAACUCCGAUUGCGAAGGCAGCUCACUGGACUGCAACUGACACUGAGGCUCGAAAGUGUGGGUAUCGAACAGGAUUAGAUACCCGUGUAGUC